CAUAUUGGUUUCGCACUUGCUGAAGGACUCUAGAGAGGCCAGGAAUAGGAAAACAAAGCCAAACAUGAGACAUUUUAAGCGAUUAAUAGGCGCAGUCAGCUAUUUCGGAUAGUAAUUUUGUCCAUCGAAGAAACACAAACGCCCCAUUCUUCUUCAGCAGAGCAACAUCAAACGCUGAGUUCGUUUAGGCAGCGGCGCUCAUCUUCGCCUCACGAGUUUAAUGCGGCCAACUCUGAGCCAAACGCUUUACAUCGGAGUAUCCACCCAUCUCUAACCCUACACAGAGUCUGUGUUUACUAGCAGACACGGCGAGCAGGCACGACCGGUUUACAGAGAGAGAGGCGCACACCUGUUCCUCACACCGCACCCUCUGCGUUCAGGUUUUCUUAGCAUUAAAAUAAUGCAAAGUGGUGAGAUCAUUUCACCCGGAGUCAGGACAGAGUUCGUUAUUCAAACCCAUUUUCCCUGCUUCAUAUUUGCCUAUGAAAGAAAGCCAUGGACGAGGCGCAUUAAGUGCUGCAUGCAGCGUUAUAAAAUAGUACCCUCCCCAUUUUUGUCUUGUUUUCUGAAUCGUAUCCUUAAUUCGAGAUGCGUUUAAGAUGCGAAAUAAACAACAAAAAGUCACAGUUUUCCGAAACAAUUAUUAAAAUGAAGUAAACAUCUGCCAAAGCCACAUGAAAACUGGUUUUCUUGAUUUUUUUUAAGCCUAUAGAGAUACCCGUUGAACAUAAAUGCAUAUAAGUGCACUGAAACGGAGCUAUUCAGGCCAUAAGCUAUUUCUUUGUGCUGCUUAAUAUUUUUUGUGCAUAUAUAAAAAAAAACAUUUGCUUGAAACAGGAAGCUUUUGUAACGUUCUAAAUGCCUCCAUUGUCACUUUUAAUCAACUCAAUGCAUGCUUUCCGAAUAAAAGCAUUAACUUCUUUCCAAACCCCCCCAAAUCUUUAACGUUAUAUACGUUAAAUACAUUUAAGCACGACGUAGGCAUUCACACACCCCUGAAACGCUGAACUGCUAAGCCUGUUCUAUUGUGUAGGGUGAUUUAUCACAAAGGCGUUCACGUUUUGCAUAAAUGCACUUGGUUUUUCACGAUCACGGUGACAGAAACAGACCAGCCUCAAGAAGGAAUGCGAUUCCAGUGAAGUCCUGGCUAACUUCGCACCGUCAGCGCUGGAGGUGUUGCUCACGAGCUCCGAGGUAGCCGUUAAACACUGUGAGCAGACGCAUUACCGACUGCCCCAUUGCAUCAUGACUCCUCUGUGGGUUUUUCGUUUGAAUGAUCGUGUUUAGAAAUCAGACACAAUGCGUUAGGACAUGUCGCCCAUAUCCGUAAGAGGGAAGGCGCGUCCGGAGGCGCUCCGGGUCGCCCAUUGUGCUCCGGCGCUCUGUUUGAGGUAAAUUCAGCUAAAUUCAACCCCCUGGAUGUUUUCACAGAUCUGUUGGCUGCUUCUCCGUCAGUGAAGGAAAGGCGGCCGUUUACAUGACUGUGAAGCAUCAGAAGAAUGCAGAGGGGUGAGAUCUCUGAAGCAGAAACAGCAGUCUGUCAUGUCCUGAACACACAUCUGCUGGAGAGGAGCCUGCGGCGUUUGUCAGGAUUCCCGUGUUUUGAGCCAAUUAAACUUUAGCUCCGGUUUUGAGAAACGUGCCACAGCGCUCGACUGAAAUCAGAAGGAGUCCGGACACAUGUAGACGCCGCAAGCGCCAGAUCCAGCUGCUUUAAUGGGAAACCGGUGCUUGACACGCCGGUGGAAGAAUCCAGAAAAGAGCAGGGCGACAGACGGACAGCAGACGUGUAGCGAACGGCACAUGGACGUUACAUAAGCACACACUCCUCCCUCAGAUCCUCUCAACAUCUGGAACCAGAGCCGACCCGAGGAAACGAGAGCGAAGAGACACCGAGAGACGCGUAUCGGACACACUGUCAAUCACUCGUCGCUGACACAUUAAGGACAGGGAGAAACUAAAGGCUAAAUGGGAGAUAAAUGGAUUUAAUGGAUGCAGCGUGUGUGUGUGUGCGUGUGUGUGUGUGUGUGGACAUCAGGAUGUCAUAUGUAUAACAUCUAAAAAGAGUUUGACAUACGUUACCGCUUCUGUUAAUGCGACUGUGUAGUUAAACGGGGAAAAAACUGACUGAGUUUAGAUUAAAGUCCCGGUCAAUGAGUGAAAACAGAUCCAGGGGAAGUCAGUGGAAAACCCGGCAUGUUUCCACACAAUUACAAAGGCAUUCGCAACACUGAACACAUUAUAUCAUAAUCAAUAUAAAAUAAAAAGUGUGUUUUGUUAGUUUUUUUUUAACCAAAAGGGGAUUUUUCAAAAUGGCGGUCAAAAGCUCAACACACUCCCGAAGCUUCGGCCUAGCUAUUAAUAUUCAGGCGGUUUGCAUCUUGUUAAAAUUAAAGCGGUUGUACUAUGUUUAGUGUAAACAGGUUUACCUUGUUUAUAUGACAAGAGUCCACCGAUUUUUCUCAAACGCAACACAGAAAAAGCAUGCAUUAUAUUAUGAAUUACAGUGAUACACACAAAACAAUGAAAUAAAAUGCAACGCGGAAAAUGCAUGCAUAUAUUUAUAUAAAAAAUCGAAUUAUUAUAAUUAAUAUAAUGACAUAUAAUUAGUUAACAAAUCAAAUCAAACAAAAGGUUUUAGAAACAUUAAGGAUCCACAAAAUUAAGCGAUUAAAUGGUUUAGGUGAGAACAAAUUGGCCUGCUGGAAUUAGGGUUAUGCACAUAUUCUUAUUCCGUGAUCAUUUAUUAACAUUAUGUGAAAGGUUUUUUUUAAGAUGUUGUGUAAAUGCUGGGACUUUUUAUUUCUCAAAACUACUUGCACACAGAACCAAGGGGAUGAUGAAAAAUAAGCAGUAAUAAGCGGUUCUAUUUUCUUUUUGGUUGCUUUUUUUUGAUAUUUUCUAUUCAGUUCUGUCUCUGUUUUGGUCUUUGGCCUGAUUGACAUUUAAUCCGUAAAUAAAUACGCGCGUGUAUGCGUGUGUACACAGGUGUGUCUGUCCGUGAGCACACAAGAAAUGUUGCUAAAAAACACUGGUGAUCAGGAAGAGUGCUCACGUGAUCAUUAGUGACUUCGGCCAGCAACUGACUAGAACUAAAUCAGUAAGAGGUCAUAUAUGUCUGGUCAGGAUAAAAUAAUAAAAGUCCCAGCAGAUUCAGAAAAAUCUCGCAA